rnacentral:rRNA from 1 species
GCAUAAUCAAUAGUUUUUUAAUUGGAAGCUGGAAUGAAGGGUUUUACUAAGGAGAUAGUUUUGUUUAAUUAGCUUGAAUUUAAAUUAAAAGUAAAAAUGCUUUUAUAAAAUUUUGGGACGAGAAGACCCUAGAAGCUUAUAAAUUAGAAAUUUUUGGUUGGGGUAACUUUUGAAGAAUUUGAUUUUUGGAGAAUUAAAGUUUAAUUAAUGAAGUUACUCUAGGGAUAACAGCAUUAUUUAAUUAGCAAGUUCUUAUUAAUAAUUAAGUUUGUGACCUCGAUGUUGAAUUAAUU